rnacentral:rRNA from 1 species
CCUACGGGUGGCAGCAGUGAGGAAUAUUGGUCAAUGGACGAGAGUCUGAACCAGCCAAGUAGCGUGAAGGAUGACUGCCCUAUGGGUUGUAAACUUCUUUUAUAUGGGAAUAAAAUGUUCCACGUGUGGGAUUUUGUAUAUACCAUAUGAAUAAGGAUCGGCUAACUCCGUGCCAGCAGCCGCGGUAAUACGGAGGAUCCGAGCGUUAUCCGGAUUUAUUGGGUUUAAAGGGAGCGUAGGUGGAUUGUUAAGUCAGUUGUGAAAGUUUGCGGCUCAACCGUAAAAUUGCAGUUGAAACUGGCAGUCUUGAGUACAGUAGAGGUGGGCGGAAUUCGUGGUGUAGCGGUGAAAUGCUUAGAUAUCACGAAGAACUCCGAUUGCGAAGGCAGUUCACUGGACUGCAACUGACACUGAGGCUCGAAAGUGUGGGUAUCAAACAGGAUUAGAUACCCUUGUAGUC